rnacentral:rRNA from 1 species
UGGGGGGACCAUCCUCCAAGGCUAAAUACUCCUGACUGACCGAUAGUGAACCAGUACCGUGAGGGAAAGGCGAAAAGAACCCCGGCGAGGGGAGUGAAAAAGAACCUGAAACCGUGUACGUACAAGCAGUGGGAGCACAGAGCAAUCUGUGUGACUGCGUACCUUUUGUAUAAUGGGUCAGCGACUUAUAUUCUGUAGCAAGGUUAACCGAAUAGGGGAGCCGAAGGGAAACCGAGUCUUAACUGGGCGUUAAGUUGCAGGGUAUAGACCCGAAACCCGGUGAUCU